UGACAAAUCUAAUCCGAUUACUUCGCUACUCAGAUCAUCUAAUCUAAAUAAUUCAAAUAUAAUCUAAAUUAUUUUAGAUUUGAUUAUUAUAUUUUGAUCCAAUCAAAAUUAGAUAAUAAUCAUCAUAAAUAAAAAUUAUAUAUUUUAAAUUAAAAUCAGAUUUUAUAAAGAUCAGCACAAACUAGGACAACCUUUGCACUGUAAGGGAUAAACCUUAUAGCAGGACAAUCUUAUAUCAGUUUGUACGAUC
rnacentral:lncRNA from 1 species